rnacentral:rRNA from 1 species
CCUGAAAUCUAGCCCACCUCACCCUUCAACUAGUAUAUUCAAAUAAAACAUUUUCAUUUACUAGUAAAGGUGAUUGAAAAACUCAUAAGCGCUUCAGACCCAGUACCGCAAGGGAACGAUGAAAUAUUAAUGAAAUAUCAAAGCCCCGCACAGCAAAGCUUAACUCUUGUACCUUUUGCAUCAUGGUUAUUCAAGUCCAAUCAGACAAAACUUAACCUUAAGCCUGCCCCCCCGAAACUGGAUGAGCUACUUUAAAAUAAUCUUCAGGAUGAACCCGUCUCUGUUGCAAAAGAGUGGGAAAAUUUUAAAGUAGAAGUGAAAAGCUUAUCGGACCCAGAGAUAGCUGGUUAUUCAAGAAAAGAAUUUUAGUUCUACCUUAAGUUUAUUUAUUAACACAAAACAGUACUCCAAACUUAAGAGCUAUUCAAAUAAGGGAUAGCUUAUUUGACUCAGGACACAACCUCAUAUAAAGGGUAAUAUAUCAAAUGCUCAUUAGGUUGGCCUAAGAGCAGCCNGAAGGGCGUCAAGCCUAUUGUACAUACACCUAAUUGCUUUCUCACAGACACAUCACCCUUCCCCCCUAUUGAAUGAAUUUAUAGAUUUAUAAAAGCCACUAUGCCUAAACUAGUAACAAGAAUAAGAAAUUCUCCUCAAUGUAAGCCUAAGCCGUAAUGGACAUACCAACGGCAAUUAAAGUUAAUAAACCCGUUAUAAUAACUACCAUAAAAAACUUAUAAUAAUAAACGUUAACCUAACACAAGGACAUUCUAGGAAAGAUUAAAAGGGGGAGAAGGAACUCGGCAAAUCUUAAUCCCGCCUGUUUACCAAAAACAUCGCCUCUUGUUAAAUUAUAAGAGGUCCAGCCUGCCCAAUGACUUCUUAAAUGGCCGCGGUAUCCUAACCGUGCUAAGGUAGCACAAUAACUUGUUCUUUAAAUGAGGACUUGUAUGAAUGGCAUCACGAGGAUUACACUGUCUCCUCCCCCCAAUCAGUGAAACUGACCCCCCUGUGAAAAGGCAGGGAUUAUAUUAUAAGACGUGAAGACCCCAUGGAGCUUCAGAUUUAAAGCACAUGUAAACCCCACUUCACUAAAGCCUUAGAUCACUGACUUCCAGUCUUGGGUUGGGGCGACCCUGGAGUACAACUUAACCUCCAUGGUGAACGGACAAAUCCUAAUCUAAGAGUUACAACUGUAAGAAUCAAAAAACUGACAACCACUGAUCCGAAAUUCGAUCAACGAACCAAGUUACCCUGGGGAUAACAGCGCCAUCUACCUCGAGAGUUCAUAUCGACAGGUGGGUCUACGACCUCGAUGUAGGAUCAGGGUAUCCCUGAGGUGCAGCCGCUACACAAGGUUCGUUGUCAAC